UACAGAGGGGGCAAGCGUUGUUCGGAAUUACUGGGCGUAAAGGGCGCGUAGGCGGCCUUCUAAGUCGAACGUGAAAUCCCUGGGCUCAACCCAGGAACUGCGUCCGAUACUGGAAGGCUUGAAUCCGGGAGAGGGAUGCGGAAUUCCAGGUGUAGCGGUGAAAUGCGUAGAUAUCGUGAGGAACACCAGUGGCGAAGGCGGGUCUCUGGACAGUUCCUGACGCUGAGGCACGAAGGUCAGGGGAGCAAACGGG
rnacentral:rRNA from 1 species